GAGCACGUAGGUGGGUUUGUAAGUCAGAUGUGAAAGCCUUCUGUUCAACGGAAGAAUUGCAUCUGAAACUGCUGAUCUUGAGUAUAGGAGGGGAGAAUGGAACUUCUGGUGGAGCGGUGAAAUGCGUAGAUAUCAGAAGGAACGCCGGCGGCGAAAGCGAUUCUCUAGCCUAUUACUGACACUCAGUGUGCGAAAGCUAGGGGAGCAAACGGGAUUAGAUACCCCGGUAGUCCUAGCCGUAAACGAUGGGCACUAAGUAGAGGGGUUUU
rnacentral:rRNA from 1 species